UGGAGUCAGAAACACAGGAGUACCAGUCGGUAGUACCAGACGUUUCGUCUCAGGGGGCGUUUACAAAUUGUCGGUUGACGAUAGCAACAGCAAAUGAAAAAGCCAUAAAAUUCCUCUUAAGCCGAGCGGAAAAAUGCUUUCAAAAGCCCCAGUCAUUAUUCAUGAAUGUCUGUAUCUGUUGCUAGCUGACGCGCUUGCUCUAAAUAAAGUCUUACGGCUAGCGCUGGGGUUUGUCACAGGGUGUGAUAUAAAUAAUUGGGCAUUGCUUCUCUCAGUGAGACAUUACACCCUGACCAAACCGCAGCAAGCAUCACAUCUUCUCCCUUCCUUGGUUCUUCUGAAUUCUGAAAGAAUUAUCGAUCUUCUUUUGUGAGGAAGAUUGAUUCAACAACAACGUCAAGUCAAGAUGUCCGCUAUGACAGGAUUGAUGGACGCUGCGUUCGGGGUUUCUUUCAACCGACUGAUGAAAUCCGAGUCGACCCGAAGACACGCGAAGUCUCCCCGGACCGGUUUCAAAAAGAAAAACUCUACCAACAUUAUCAUGUCGGAGGAACUUCCCGAUGUGGUGAGAGAGAGCAGGACUGACUACUCAAGAAAUAACAGCACAAAGACGCCGCAGGCUUACUAUUAAAGACCCAGAAAAACAUGAAGAAAGAAAAAAAAUGGGCUGGCUCCGAUGCACUGACUGAGGAGGACAAAGGAUUGUUUGCUUAACAACAGACAGAAGUCUGCAACACGUGACUGUAUCCCACCGUCUGGCUGGUCUGGCACAAUGUUAUCUAGUAUAAACUAACCAUACACACUGAUUACGUGACAAAAACAAGACAAGGUUGGAAGAAAAAUACAUGGUUUUAUUUUAUUUUGAUGAUAUCUCUUCUAAGGUUUGGGAGAGAAGUAAUUUAAGGAAGAAAAUGAUAUAACUUAUUAUCUUUUAAACAGUACUUAGCUGGAACCACGUCGUAGAUUUCUGUUCCAUAAAUAGACAGGGCAGUCGCCCUGACUGGCUCUCCUAGCUAGCGGCCUGAGAGAUUGUGUAACACAUGCAGAUGUGGUAUGUGUAAGUUUUAAAGAAGUGUUUUUGUUCAGCGCUCUGGGAGGUUUCAAUUGAUGUUCGUAAAUAACGUACCAGGACUGAAGUGCCAUAUAUAUAACAUGUGCCAGGCGGAAGAAGUGUUUACUCUACAGGGUUGUAAAGUUAGAGUCUAUAGGCGUUGGUAGAAAAGCGAAGUGGCGACUGGGUUUACAUGCACGGUCGUAGGUGUAUAUACUUAAUACUACAUUUUUUUUUACUACAUUAGUUCGUGCAAGGACGUUGGUUCGUGUAAAUGUAAAAGAAAGAAAAACAAACAACAGAGCUAAAUAAAAAAAAAACUAUC